rnacentral:rRNA from 1 species
CCUACGGGAGGCAGCAGUGAGGAAUAUUGGUCAAUGGGCGAGAGUCUGAACCAGCCAAGUAGCGUGAAGGAUGACUGCCCUAUGGGUUGUAAACUUCUUUUAUAUGGGAAUAAAAUGUUCCACGUGUGGCAUUUUGUAUGUACCUUAUGAAUAAGGAUCGGCUAACUCCGUGCCAGCAGCCGCGGUAAUACGGAGGAUCCGAGCGUUAUCCGGAUUUAUUGGGUUUAAAGGGAGCGUAGAUGGAUUGUUAAGUCAGUUGUGAAAGUUUGCGGCUCAACCGUAAAAUUGCAGUUGAAACUGGCAGUCUUGAGUACAGUAGAGGUGGGCGGAAUUCGUGGUGUAGCGGUGAAAUGCUUAGAUAUCACGAAGAACUCCGAUUGCGAAGGCAGCUCACUGGAUUGCCACUGACACUGAGGCUCGAAAGUGUGGGUAUCAAACAGGAUUAGAUACCCUAGUAGUC